rnacentral:rRNA from 1 species
GGUUAAGCGACUAAGCGUACACGGUGGAUGCCCUGGCAGUCAGAGGCGAUGAAGGACGUGCUAAUCUGCGAUAAGCGUCGGUAAGGUGAUAUGAACCGUUAUAACCGGCGAUUUCCGAAUGGGGAAACCCAGUGUGAUUCGUCACACUAUCAUUAACUGAAUCCAUAGGUUAAUGAGGCGAACCGGGGGAACUGAAACAUCUAAGUACCCCGAGGAAAAGAAAUCAACCGAGAUUCCCCCAGUAGCGGCGAGCGAACGGGGAGCAGCCCAGAGCCUGAAUCAGUGUGUGUGUUAGUGGAAGCGUCUGGAAAGGCGUGCGAUACAGGGUGACAGCCCCGUACACAAAAAUGCACAUACUGUGAGCUCGAUGAGUAGGGCGGGACACGUGGUAUCCUGUCUGAAUAUGGGGGGACCAUCCUCCAAGGCUAAAUACUCCUGACUGACCGAUAGUGAACCAGUACCGUGAGGGAAAGGCGAAAAGAACCCCGGCGAGGGGAGUGAAAAAGAACCUGAAACCGUGUACGUACAAGCAGUGGGAGCACGCUUAGGCGUGUGACUGCGUACCUUUUGUAUAAUGGGUCAGCGACUUAUAUUCUGUAGCAAGGUUAACCGAAUAGGGGAGCCGAAGGGAAACCGAGUCUUAACUGGGCGUUAAGUUGCAGGGUAUAGACCCGAAACCCGGUGAUCUAGCCAUGGGCAGGUUGAAGGUUGGGUAACACUAACUGGAGGACCGAACCGACUAAUGUUGAAAAAUUAGCGGAUGACUUGUGGCUGGGGGUGAAAGGCCAAUCAAACCGGGAGAUAGCUGGUUCUCCCCGAAAGCUAUUUAGGUAGCGCCUCGUGAAUUCAUCUCCGGGGGUAGAGCACUGUUUCGGCAAGGGGGUCAUCCCGACUUACCAACCCGAUGCAAACUGCGAAUACCGGAGAAUGUUAUCACGGGAGACACACGGCGGGUGCUAACGUCCGUCGUGAAGAGGGAAACAACCCAGACCGCCAGCUAAGGUCCCAAAGUCAUGGUUAAGUGGGAAACGAUGUGGGAAGGCCCAGACAGCCAGGAUGUUGGCUUAGAAGCAGCCAUCAUUUAAAGAAAGCGUAAUAGCUCACUGGUCGAGUCGGCCUGCGCGGAAGAUGUAACGGGGCUAAACCAUGCACCGAAGCUGCGGCAGCGACGCUUAUGCGUUGUUGGGUAGGGGAGCGUUCUGUAAGCCUGUGAAGGUGUGCUGUGAGGUAUGCUGGAGGUAUCAGAAGUGCGAAUGCUGACAUAAGUAACGAUAAAGCGGGUGAAAAGCCCGCUCGCCGGAAGACCAAGGGUUCCUGUCCAACGUUAAUCGGGGCAGGGUGAGUCGACCCCUAAGGCGAGGCCGAAAGGCGUAGUCGAUGGGAAACAGGUUAAUAUUCCUGUACUUGGUGUUACUGCGAAGGGGGACGGAGAAGGCUAUGUUGGCCGGGCGACGGUUGUCCCGGUUUAAGCGUGUAGGCUGGUUUUCCAGGCAAAUCCGGAAAAUCAAGGCCGAGGCGUGAUGACGAGGCACUACGGUGCUGAAGCAACAAAUGCCCUGCUUCCAGGAAAAGCCUCUAAGCAUCAGGUAACAUCAAAUCGUACCCCAAACCGACACAGGUGGUCAGGUAGAGAAUACCAAGGCGCUUGAGAGAACUCGGGUGAAGGAACUAGGCAAAAUGGUGCCGUAACUUCGGGAGAAGGCACGCUGAUACGUAGGUGAAGCGACUUGCUCGUGGAGCUGAAAUCAGUCGAAGAUACCAGCUGGCUGCAACUGUUUAUUAAAAACACAGCACUGUGCAAACACGAAAGUGGACGUAUACGGUGUGACGCCUGCCCGGUGCCGGAAGGUUAAUUGAUGGGGUUAGCGCAAGCGAAGCUCUUGAUCGAAGCCCCGGUAAACGGCGGCCGUAACUAUAACGGUCCUAAGGUAGCGAAAUUCCUUGUCGGGUAAGUUCCGACCUGCACGAAUGGCGUAAUGAUGGCCAGGCUGUCUCCACCCGAGACUCAGUGAAAUUGAACUCGCUGUGAAGAUGCAGUGUACCCGCGGCAAGACGGAAAGACCCCGUGAACCUUUACUAUAGCUUGACACUGAACAUUGAGCCUUGAUGUGUAGGAUAGGUGGGAGGCUUUGAAGUGUGGACGCCAGUCUGCAUGGAGCCGACCUUGAAAUACCACCCUUUAAUGUUUGAUGUUCUAACGUGGACCCGUGAUCCGGGUUGCGGACAGUGUCUGGUGGGUAGUUUGACUGGGGCGGUCUCCUCCUAAAGAGUAACGGAGGAGCACGAAGGUUGGCUAAUCCUGGUCGGACAUCAGGAGGUUAGUGCAAUGGCAUAAGCCAGCUUGACUGCGAGCGUGACGGCGCGAGCAGGUGCGAAAGCAGGUCAUAGUGAUCCGGUGGUUCUGAAUGGAAGGGCCAUCGCUCAACGGAUAAAAGGUACUCCGGGGAUAACAGGCUGAUACCGCCCAAGAGUUCAUAUCGACGGCGGUGUUUGGCACCUCGAUGUCGGCUCAUCACAUCCUGGGGCUGAAGUAGGUCCCAAGGGUAUGGCUGUUCGCCAUUUAAAGUGGUACGCGAGCUGGGUUUAGAACGUCGUGAGACAGUUCGGUCCCUAUCUGCCGUGGGCGCUGGAGAACUGAGGGGGGCUGCUCCUAGUACGAGAGGACCGGAGUGGACGCAUCACUGGUGUUCGGGUUGUCAUGCCAAUGGCACUGCCCGGUAGCUAAAUGCGGAAGAGAUAAGUGCUGAAAGCAUCUAAGCACGAAACUUGCCCCGAGAUGAGUUCUCCCUGACCCUUUAAGGGUCCUGAAGGAACGUUGAAGACGACGACGUUGAUAGGCCGGGUGUGUAAGCGCAGCGAUGCGUUGAGCUAACCGGUACUAAUGAACCGUGAGGCUUAACCUU